GCCUGACCAGCCAUGCCGCGUGCAGGAUGACGGUCCUAUGGAUUGUAAACUGCUUUUGUACGGGAAGAAACACUCCGACGUGUCGGAGCUUGACGGUACCGUAAGAAUAAGGAUCGGCUAACUCCGUGCCAGCAGCCGCGGUAAUACGGAGGAUCCAAGCGUUAUCCGGAAUCAUUGGGUUUAAAGGGUCCGUAGGCGGUCUGGUAAGUCAGUGGUGAAAGCCCAUCGCUCAACGGUGGAACGGCCAUUGAUACUGCUGGACUUGAAUUACUGGGAAGCAACUAGAAUAUGUAGUGUAGCGGUGAAAUGCUUAGAGAUUACAUGGAAUACCAAUUGCGAAGGCAGGUUGCUACCAGUGGAUUGACGCUGAUGGACGAAAGCGUGGGUAGCGAACAGGAUUAGAUACCCUGGUAGUCCACGCCGUAAACGAUGGAUACUAGCUGUUGGGAGCAAUCUCAGUGGCUAAGCGAAAGUGAUAAGUAUCCCACCUGGGGAGUACGUUCGCAAGAAUGAAACUCAAAGGAAUUGACGGGGGCCCGCACAAGCGGUGGAGCAUGUGGUUUAAUUCGAUGAUACGCGAGGAACCUUACCAAGGCUUAAAUGCAGACUGACCGAUUUGGAAACAGAUCUUUCGC
rnacentral:rRNA from 3 species